rnacentral:rRNA from 1 species
UGGGCGUAAGCGCGCGCAGGCGGUUUCUUAAGUCUGAUGUGAAAGCCCCCGGCUCAACCGGGGAGGGUCAUUGGAAACUGGGGAACUUGAGUGCAGAAGAGGAGAGUGGAAUUCCACGUGUAGCGGUGAAAUGCGCAGAGAUGUGGAGGAACACCAGUGGCGAAGGCGAUUCUGUGGUCUGUAACUGACGCUGAGGCGCGAAAGCGUGGGGAGCCAACAGGAUUAGAUACCCUGGUAGUCCACGCCGUAAACGAUGAGUGCUAAGUGUUAGAGGGUUUCCGCCCUUUAGUGCUGCAGCUAACGCAUUAAGCACUCCGCCUGGGGAGUACGGUCGCAAGACUGAAACUCAAAGGAAUUGACGGGGGCCCGCACAAGCGGUGGAGCAUGUGGUUUAAUUCGAAGCAACGCGAAGAACCUUACCAGGUCUUGACAUCCUCUGACAACCCUAGAGAUAGGGCUUCCCCUUGGGGGGCACAGUGCCAGGUGGUGCAUGGUGUUCUUCACCUCUUGUCGUGAGAUGUUGGGUUAAAUCCCGCAACGAGCGCAACCCUUGAUCUUAGUUCCCACCAUUCAUUGGCCACUCUAAGGUGACUGCCGGGGCCAAACCGGAGGAAGGUGGGGAGGACAUCAAAUCUUCAUGCCCCUUAUGACAUGGGUUCCACACGUGCUCCAAUGGGCAGAACAAAGGGCAGGGAAGCCGCGAGGCUAAGCCAUCCCCACAAAUCUGUUCUCAGUUCGGAUCGCAUUUUGCAAUUGGAUUCCGGGAAGCGGGAAUCGUUAGUAAUCGAGGAUCACCAUGCCCCGGGAAAUACGUUCCCGGUCUU